GAAUGGAUCUAGAGCAUCCUGAAUUAUUUUCAAUUUGGCUCAGUAUGCGUAAAUGAUAUAACAGUCUACACUCUUUUAAACUAAUAACUUAACCAAGACGCGUGGUUUCGUCCAGCAAUUCCUCUAACUCUUUCUCUUCCUGAUUUAACAUUCGUAAAUCUAAUUUAGGUGAAAUGGGAGCCUUCGGCUUUUCAACUUUGGUAAUUGCAUCUAUAACAAAAUGAUUGUCGCAGCUUUGUCAAGUUAGUAUAUACGCUAUAAAAACUUUUGGUAAAAAUGACAGCAUUCAGUUUGAUUCAAACACUUGAAUCUGUAUAAUGCAAACAUACUUCGGACAAUACUCAUCGCUUUCAUCCAUAGUUUGAUCAAAUUGGAUUCUAAAAGCUUUUCGACAUUUUUUACAUAUCAGGGUAAGUUCUGAGGUUUUGAGCAAAGGGUGAUCAGCGAUUUCAUUAUGACAUUCAAUGCAAUCUAUCCAGCGACGGCAGCAGGCUGUGCGAAUCGACACCUGAGCGUUUAAAACAUGCUUGCUAUAAACUGUUAGUCAACAUACAAUAAACUUAAUAAUAGCGCCUGAAAAAGAUAGCUUUGGAAAAUUCAUUUUAACAAGGUCCUUUUCUUAGCAAUGAUAGAAUUUAAGCUGAAAAACUAGGAUUGUAAUCCAAUAACUUACCACAUGUCUACGCGUGAAUGUCUAGCUGAGAGUUGGGAAAGAGUAAUUAUCCCGAUGAGUACAGUUCGUUAAAUAUCAAUUAUAAAAAGUUGUUUUGCUAAUCGCUUUAGAAUUGUUUGCUAUAAUCAAAUUUUUUUUUAAUUACGUUAAAAUAAAAUUUGAUUAUCAAUCAGAUUGUUAUAUCUAUUAAACAUGUUGCCAAUUGUAAUUUGGCACAAAAAAUUACAGACUGGAUAUUAAAUAGCUUUUAUUAAACAUAAACGAGAGAUAUUUGUUUUCAGAAUGACUCUGAUUUGAAUGGUGAUUUACCGGCUCAAGAACUGCUAUUCCUUUCUGUUGAAAUAAAAUAGAAGCCACAUUUUACCUUAAUAAACUUUCUUUCACUAUAUUAAAUAUGCGAGACAUAUCAUUUGGAUCAAACAUCCAUAGACCCACAACGUGCUGAUUUUCAGUUCUGUGAAUUAGGUAUCGGUCGACAAGGUGCACAUUACUCGGAUGAUUAAUAAAUAAAUAGAGGUUUUCUGGUGAAUUUCUGUUCAAUAUGACAUAUCCAACUCUGGCUCUUUGGUCUUUAACUAGAAAAAAAGUUCCUUCAAUUGAGGUUUUUAACUUGAACGUUAGCAACGAGUUAAAUAAAAACAUAAACGUAGAAUAAAAGACUAUAUUCAUUUUUGAUCAAUAAAGUAAAGUUCGUAUCUUAAAAUUCCAUUGUUAAACGAUAUAUCAAAGCAGUUUACUUUCUAUAUAUCGACAAAUGGAAAAAUUCACAUAGUCAAAUCCAGUGAUAUAAAAUGUGUUUAUUUUUUUGUUCAUAUGCUUUCCUAAAUACGACUUGAUAUUGAUUUCGUUGUCACCGUUUUGUUAACUUACCCAUUUUUGCGAGCCAACAUCAAAUUGGUACACAGCUACGUGAGAAGCAAUAUCAAUAAUGCUUUCAAUCUCAGGAUAAUGAAAUUUCAGUACUUGUAGAUUGACAGCAUUCCGCAAUAUGUUUUCAUCUUCCAUUAUAAAACUUCUUUAGACAGUUUUUUUACAAUAAACUUUAAUAAAACCUGGC